AUGACGAGCGCCUCCGAGCUCUUCACCGCCCGCCGCGCCCGCGCGCCCCGCCUCUCCGACCCGGGGGACCCCGGCCCGGACCCGCUCGCCGACGCGCCGCAGGACCCGCACGGCCUCGCCGCCCGCCGCCGCCGCCGGGGCUGCCGCGCGCGCCGCCAGCUCGACGCCGCCGGGGACGUGCGCCAGCACCUCCACACCGGCCCCCCGCCCCCGCGCCGACGCGGCUCCUACACGGACCGUAUCUUGUCAUACAUAGACAAUAGCAACAUUGGGGAUUCUGCAGCUACAAGGAACCGACUUGACAGGCUGAUGUUCAGAACAAAUGAGCGGCUUCCCGGUGCCGUACUGCAAGCUCAGGCACGUGUUCUGGAGAGACUGAGAGGCGUUUCUAUCGGAUCAUCUACCUCCAGGCCAUCCAUCACAUUGGAUGAAUUUUCAGCUACGGAUGUGUUUAGAAUCAUCGACUUCGGAAGCAGAGAAGCCCCAUACGAGGCUAAUUGGCCUGGCUCAUCAUCUGUCCAGCCAAGCAGCGGGUCGGAUGAAGAGAGCUUGGAGAACACAUCCAUCAGUUCAACUACUUCCAACAGGUCACCUGGACUGAGCAAGUCUGCCUUUCUUCGGCUACAGAUAGAGAUCUUUGAGGCUAAGAAAGAUGACAACAGGGAGGCAUCGCCGGAAUGCUCGAUUUGUCUCGAUGGUUUCUACGACAGAGACGAGCUGAUAAGGCUGCGCUGCGGACACAGGUUCCACUCGACUUGCUUGGAGCCAUGGGUGCGGAAAUGCGCAGAUUGCCCAUACUGUCGAACAAACAUAAGGUCCCGGCCCUGA
rnacentral:rRNA from 1 species